UACGUAGGGACCGAGCGUUGUCCGGAAUCAUUGGGCGUAAAGAGCGUGUAGGCGGCUUGCUAAGUCCUGCGUGAAAUCUCGGGGCUCAACCCCGAGCGGUCGUGGGAAACUGGCAGGCUAGAGUGCGGGAGAGGAGAGUGGAAUUCCUGGUGUAGCGGUGAAAUGCGCAGAUAUCAGGAAGAACACCCGUGGCGAAGGCGGCUCUCUGGAACGCAA
rnacentral:rRNA from 1 species